GGCUCGUUGGUCUAGAGGUAUGAUUCUUGCAUCGGGUGCGAGAGGUCCUGGGUUCAAAUCCUGGACGAGCCC
rfam:Tetraodon nigroviridis, WGS project CAAE01000000 data, contig: CNS0BXBX, chromosome: undetermined